rnacentral:lncRNA from 1 species
GUGAUUAUGAUGUUUCAGUGUAGGUUCACCAGUUAUAAUAAAUGGACCACUCUACUCGGGGAGGUUGAUAAUGGAGUGUUAUGAAUAUGAGGGGCAGGGAUUUGUGGGAAGAUCUCUCUACCUUCUGCUUUGAUACAGGGAAUGUAUCUGGACUUUAUGUUCCUUCCCAAGAGCUCUUCUCAUUAAGGGUUUAUCCUUAGGUUGACGUGGUGAAAUAUGUUGUCUAUUUUAUCUCAUUUCACUUUUGCUUCUUUUAUUUAUUUUUUAUUUUUUUGUCUUUUUGCCUUUUCUAGGGCCGCUCCCACAGCAUAUGGAGUUUCCCAGGCUAGGGGUCUAAUGGGAGCUGUAGCUGCCAGCUCUAGCUGCCACAGCUACAGCAACGCGGGAUAUGAGCUGCAUCUGCGACCUACACCACAGCUCACGGCACGCCAGAUCCUUAACCCACUGAGCAAGGCCAGGGAUGGAACCCGCAACCUCAUGGUUCCUAGUCGGAUUCGUUAACCACUGUGCCACAAUGGGAGCUCCACUUUUACCUCUUAGAAAAUGCUUUAUAAAAAUAUUCAAGAGGCGACUUAAUGUAGCAGAAUAAAGACUAGAUUGAGAUAAAGAGAUAUAAAUUCUAGUCUAGACUAUCAUUUACUAAAUAUGGGAUCUGGAGUAUAUCGCUUGAAAUUUUAGGAGCUUGGUUUCUUCACAUAUAAAAUGAAGAUAAUGCUAUGUUAUCUUUAUAUAUUUCAUAAGAUCAUCUGUGUUAUUAUGGGAAUUAAAUUUUUAAAGCAUAAAACAGUACAUAAAUACUACGUGAUGGCAGCAGUGGUAUUGUUAGCAAUUUUAUAAACAUAUGUUUUCAUUUUGGCCAAAUUAGCUAAAUACUGUUAGUGAGCAAGAAACAGAACCAAAAACCAAACCAAAACAACAAAAAAACCCACUAAGCAAUCUCUGUUUUAUUUAGUUUACCAUUUUAAAAAGAAAAUGAAACAAAGGUUUUCAAAAGGCCUCAGCUUUUAUAUUCUUCCUUAAAUAUAAAUUUAACUCAUUUGAGAUUAAGUGCUAGCAUAACAUAUUUUUAAUUGACAGGAUCAUUUUGAUUUAUUAAUAUAGAAAAGCUAUUCCAAAACAUCAUUACUGUUUAAAAAGAGAAGAAGCAAAGGCCCUAGCUUUUCAGUUUUAAAAGGAAAGCCCUGUGUCUCUGGAGACAGAGUCUUGGGUUUGGAGUAUGAUUCCAGGACUUAGUACCUCUGUGACCUCUAGCGGGAAACAUGAUGAUGCUGUUUCAAUAAUUUUCUUACACAUAAAUUUUACAUGCCUCUUUUAUAUAUAUCCCAAUUAUAACCUCUUGCAUUUCAAACUGAGAAAUGUGUUGUAGUGGUGGCACCAUAUAAAAAUAAAUUGCAUGGUUAUGCAGUUUGGGUGUGUGGACACAAAUGAUUUUAGGAGGAGGAUUAAAAGUCAUUACAGGAAAAGAAGGCAAUGCCAGGUCAUCUAUAUUCUGCCCUCGAUCACCUAUUCCUGCUUUGUACCUCAGAAGUAUUUGUUCGCCUAUAUUUUGCUUUCUAUACCUAACAUGGAGACUUUCUGAAUACAUCCUAUGGGAUAAAAGAUUCCAAAUUGUCACUUUAAAACAAAGUUUAAUAUCGUGUAAGAGUCUCUCAAAAAAGCAGGUUUCGAUUGUGUAUAGUCUUUAUCUUUUCCACGGAAAGCCUUUCUAGAGCUUGUAGUUACUCUAUGUCUGUUGUAUGAAAGGCAUUAUGCAAGGACUGGGUGUAUUAUGCUGGAUUAAUAUAUAGGAUUUCAAGGACUAAUUAAAAAUCACAUUUGGUUAAUGGUUUCUUUAUAUUUAAGAUCACUUCAGACUCAUGAUUAUUAAGACAAUUUUUUUUUCAUUUUACAAUACCAGGCUAAAUCACAUAAAUAAUCAUUUGGAAAUGCAAAUACAGCAACAUUUCAAUAAAAUGUGCCCAUCCUGAGUGACGGUUAAAGUGUAUUUUCCUGGAAUUCUAAGACAUGUCUUCUGCUUUCAUAUUUGACUUACACUUUAAUCCCCCUCCACAGAUGGCCCCCACACACCCUGGCAUGACCAAAAGUCUACCUAUUUGGUCACUUUUAAUAGGCAUUUGGAUCUUUAAUGACUCUGACACAAUUCAUCUGCUACAAUUUACUAACUCUAUUGGUCUUGAAAACCAAGUUCAAGGUCAGAAUGAAGACAUUUUAUACUUUUAAACAGUAGAGUUGACUGCUAAAUACUCAGGUAUUGUUGAGAGUCUAGGGAUCCUAAGUAUCUUGGGGACUGUGUAAAAGAGUUUAGGAUAACCUUUAUUUUCUCACCUAAGUGGGAAGGGAUCAUAGGGUUGUUUCUAACUUGAGGUAGACCUGUAAUGAUGCUAUGCCAAUGGAUAAGAGGUGGAACAGGCCGUUCUGACCUACAUCCACCAUCCCUUUUGGGCAUCUCAGCCCCUUUAUUCUGAAUAUAUUUAGGGACAUGUUCCCAAGACACUGGAAUAAAAUGCCUGGCUUGUUCUCCUCUUCCAUUUCUUCAUUCCAAAAGAGACGGUCUUUUUCUGCCAUCCCUUCUCUCUUUUCUCUUUCCCAUCCCAAGCAACUCUUUCUAAUUCAUACUAACCAAACCUAUUCCCCACUGCCUACUCUGAGUUACUUUGGGCUCUUGGGCGUCAGUAUCACAGUGGGAAGACUGUUUUACAAAUAAAUCUGCCUUAAAUGGGAAUAUGCAUUUGUGUAGAGUUUAGGAAAUUUAGGAAAGCAUUAUAACUUACUGGUACUGUGACCAAUUGUAUAAUCAUGUACAAGGAAUUAUUAAUUUUCAGGUGGAUAUGGAGACACAACUUAAGAAACAUUUGUGCCUUAGAAUAUAUAAUGUAUAAUUUUAUCGAAGAAAAAGAGGGGCAUUGAAGAAAAUUUUGAACAAAGCUUAUAAAUUAAUAAAAAACCCAACAGUUUAGACAUCUACCUGAUUAAUCCACCAGAUUAAUGUAAUUAAUAGUUUCCAGUCUUUAUAAGAAUUUGUACAACUUCUAGUUCGUACAACUUCUAGUUCAAAUUUGAUCCAACAUGACCAUAAUGGGUCUCAUUUGUAUAAGGCUUAAGAGUUUAUCAACACUUUUGGUCUUUUACUUAUUUCAAGCCAGAUAAUCACUUGUUAAAUUGCAUAUUUUCUUUAUUUUGUAAAAGUAACAUUUUUGCAAAGAAAGAUGAGAUAAAUUGACCAAGUCCAGCAUGGAUACAAAAUUUAAGUUUUCUCUUGGCCCUUGAGUAGAUAUAUUUUUCUAUUACGGCAGAUUUGGCAACUAUGGAUUUUAGAAUCUCACUGUACAAGAACACUUUUGAAACUCCAUGGCAACCUUUAAAAAUUCAUUUGAUUUUUACCUCUUUCUUCUAAGAUAGAAGCUGUUUUCACUAGGGAGUUAUAAUAUCACUUAAAAUCAGCCUAUCUGUGCAAUACCUGUCUUCAAUUGUCUGUAAUGAUCCUGUCUUUUGUAGACAAAGGUGAUCAUUCCUAUGCAGUAAAUUUUGCCUUUAGAAUUAAAUUUAGAAAUUGAAUCAUUUUUAUGACAAAUAUGAUGUUGGAGAAGUUACACAACAUUUCUCUCUGGUGUAGUCUCCUCAUCUGUGAGAAUUUAUUAAGUGUUGCUGCCUCAAAGACUGUAAAAGACUAUGAAGAUUAGAAGACCUGAAAGACAUGGAAAGGCCAAGCCCAGUACCUGGCAUAGAGUGGAAUCUGGUUUUCGGCUGCACCUAUGGCAUGCAGAAUUUCCCGGGCCAGGGUCGGAAGCCAUUCCACAGCUGUGAGCAGAGCUGCAGCAGUGACAACAUUGGAUCCUUAACUGCUAGGCCACUGAGGAACUCCAGAGUAGAUUUUUAAUAAAUAUCAUGUUUUACUUUCAUGUCCCUUUAUUCAUGGGGAUUUCAUACUGUUCAGCCUUUUAAGUAUGGAGUAACUAUUGGUGGCACACUUUAAGCUUUUAAAACUCUCAAAAUAAUAGUAUAUCAGCAAUCUUUACACCAAGACCAGUAUGGUGUCUGUAUGUGAAGUAUGUGAAAUUAUUACAACAUUAAUUAUCGAUGUAGAAUCUCUAACUUCGUAAGUAUAUCUUAGUCAAAAUGUCAGUUCAUGCAUGUUUUCCUUGUUGCCAGGCCGAUGAUGUACAGUGUGUUGUAUUUCUAAAGAGGAAGUGUUUAGCUCUAAAAUUUCUAGGAGUCUGCUCAGUUCAAUAAUCUAAUGCCAUCACCCCUUUUAUCAUCAUCAUCAUUAUGUCAUCCUUCUCCUUCUCCUUGUCAUCAUUUCUAACAUGUACUGACUGUUUACCACCUGCAGGCCCUUUAAUAAAUUUCCUAUAUGAAUUUCCUUAUUAUUCCUCAGCACCAUCCUUAGAAGGAUUCUGUUAUUAACCUCAUAGUAUAAAUAAGAGUAACAAGUUUUAGUGUUGUUAGGCAGUUCGUCCAAGGCAAAAGCCAGUAGAUACUGGAGUGAAAAUUAGAAUAUAGGCAGCCUUAUUUAGGAGACUCUUAUGCUUUUAUGCCUUUGUUAGGUUAUAAUGUUAAAAUUUAUAGGCAGUAAUGGCAAAAAUACAUUUUACUUAUUGAUCAACAUUUUGGAAAUAAGUGUGAAAGUGUAAGCUCAGUUAAUUAUUCCCUCAGAUACAAUAUUAUGUCUGAGAGGUGUAUGUGGGGAACAGGUAGUUAGGACAGGCUGAAAUACCCAAUGUCAGAGAGCAUUUCAGUAACAAGGAUUGAGGGGAUUCAAGGAUUCUUCAGAAUAAAACUUUAGCAUGCCUUGAAGUAAUAUACUUAGAAAAUAUUUUAAAUCUCCAGAUCAUGAAAUGUGAAAUGCAGCAUUUCUUUUUUAUACUGUCAGGAUCUCUAUUUGUUUCAGGUGUAUUGUUAUUCAUGUAUGCCAUUCCACUCAAUGGGAGUAUAAGCCCUUCUAGGAUAGGGACUGAAAUUUCUGCUGUUUCUGGGUGUUAAACAGCCAGUCAGUGCUAUGUGUGCAGUGCCGGCUCUGAUACAAAGGAAAGGACUUUGGAUUUUACGUUAGAAAACCAGAUCUUAACGCUCAGCCCUGGAUCUUAUUACCACUAUUACCUUAGGCAUGCUACUUUCUUUGAAAUUCUAAAAUAGGGGGAUAGGGGUGGUAGUCAAAAGAGGGACUUGACAAAUAUAAGGUAGGAAACUGCUGUGUCAGAAGUUUAUGAGCCAACUUUCAGUCACUCUUUUAAAAAGUUCAAAUUAUGCAAUACUGCUAUUCUCCCAAACAUCCAAAUAGCAAAUAUUGUAAACCAUGGUUUAUUUAACACUGUGAUAGAACAUUUUAUGUCUAACAGUUUAUACUGUUUAACAUUGACUAAGCUAUUUCUAUAUUCUAGGUGCUUAGUUUUAAAUACACAGUACCACUUAAUCCUUAGAACAAAGCUUUGAGAUAAGUAGUAGUAUUCUCAAUUUGCCGAGGUAAAAAGUGACAUCUUAUCAUCUGUUAAUCAACCUGUUCCAUAAUAUAAAGGUAGUAAGUGGCAGGAAGUUUCAGUUGUUUAACAUGUUUAUGAAUUAGCACAUUAAUGGCCCAAUUAGGGAAAAAUAUAUCAAUUUUUAUUAGGAAGUGUGCUCUGAAGUUUAAGCAGUGGAUUUUUGAAACCAUGAAUUACUUCCUAGAUGUAAUUCUUCCCAAGACAGGCUACAUCAUUAGCUGGGCCCAGUGCAAAAUGAAAAUGCAGAGCCUCUUGUUCAAAUCUUAUUGGAGUUCCUGUUGUGGCCUGGUAGAAACAAAUCCAACUAGUAUCCAUGAGGAUGUAGGUUUGGUCCCUGCCCUCGCUCAGUGGAUCAGGGAUCUGGCAUUGCCAUGAGCUGUGGUGGAGUUUGCAGACAUGGCUUGGAUCACGUGUGGCUGUGGCUGUGGCAUAGGCCAGCAGCUGUAGCUUUGAUUCGAUCCCUAGCCUGGGGAUUUCAUAUGCCAAGGGUGUGACCCUAAAAAGUAAAAAACAAACAAACAAACAAAAAGUAUAUAUAUAUAUAUUGACAACAUCAAGACGGAUUGAGGUAUAUGGAAUGAUGUGCAAUGGGGACCUGCUGUAUAGCAUGGAUAACUCUAACCAAUAUUCUGUGGUAAUGUAUGUGGGAAAAGAAUCUGAAAAAACAGCUGUGUACAUGUACAACUGAAUCACUUGGUUGUACAGCAGAAAUUAACACAACAUUGUAAGUCAACUAUACUUCAACAAAC